GUACUUGCGCGCCACCUGGUCGAGUUCCUUCACUCGCUUCGUCACGAACUGGCCGCCGCCGCUGUCGUAUGAAUCCUGGACUUGCACAUUGGGUUCUGUCGUGUCAGUAUUCGGGUGUUCGUGAUUGCUGAAUGAUUGUAUUUUGUUGUCAUUUGGCCUGACGGUGUGUAGCAUGAUCACGAAAAAAAGGAGCGAAUGGUGCAAGUGUGUGGAGUGUGUUCACCCUCAUCGGUUAGAUUGUGAAUGGAAUUCCGGGAUGAGUUUUCCUUUUUCCGGGAGGGAGCCCAUUCCGUAGCCUGCAGUGAAAUAUGAAACAAGAUCAAUUAUUUACCUGAUUAUGGGGAGUUCUAUCGCCGAAUGAUUCCGAAUGAGAAAGGGCCAGUACAUGGUGAUGAAUGCUGGCGGUGGAUAUUUUUUCUUUCCUCGCCUGUUCUCAGUGAGUGCCUUCGAGCGACAAAAAACAAAUCCCACAUCAUGAUGGGUAUAUUUUUGUAACGCAGAAUUAGACUGCUCAAACUGGUGAUUGAUUGUGAUUUGGGUUGUUGCGAUGAGUAGCAGGAAAAUUCGACCGCCAGGCGAUAGAUGAAAAUAAAGCGACCGUGUUCUAGUGAUCCGAAGGAAUUUCCCCUUUUUUGACCGGUUACAUGUAUGCGUGCCAAGUGUCAACAAAGUGAGUGCUUAAGGGUGUUAUUUUCCCGAAAAAAAUCCGCUCUCAGUGUUUAUCACGGUAGAAGUGAUUUUGGUAUGUGCUGACAAAGUGCUUUCCAAUAGACGUAUUUGAAUGAAGACAAUUGGACGUGAUCCUAAUAGGCAAGCAUUGAACCACCAGCAGCCACACAAAACGUUGUAAACAUCAUUGGAACAUAUGCCUCAGAUGCAGUGAUAACCAGCGUUCACUAAAGUGCCCAAAAGUGUACGAUAAGCGUUCCAUGAGAGUUCUUCGGAAAUAAUUGUACUUGUGUCAGAAGUAGAGAAGUGUGUAAUUGCUGUGCGGAGUGGCGUAUGGAUUCAACCAGCAAAGAGUUUCACUCACCGGGUGCUGUAGAAAAUGAUGUGAAAUACGGAUUACUGUCUAGUGAGCUGUAAUAAACAGAGGAUUACCACGUGACACGUUGAACUCAACGACCGUAGCAAAAGGAAAGAGAAAAAAAUAGCCGCACUAUCGUUAUCAUCAUCAUCAUUGUCAAGUGCUUCCUUCAAAGGAUUCCGGAAAUCAGUAACAAGUGUAGAAGGGUGUAAACCAAGUCCCGCGUGUCGCUUGGCCAGUACAUGAACGGCAGCGUGCUGAAAGCUCGUUGGUGGUGGGAAUGUGCCUACGACACCACUACACACAGUCGUCGGUGAAAGCUUACCCGCACUGUCACUGUUGGCACGAUGACUCGGCGAAAUCUCCAAUGUCGGCGAAGCAGCGACAAAACAAAAACCAAUGCUUGGCUUUCCGAGGAUGAAAGCCUCUAUCCACUUGCAGGCAGGGCACUUCACUUACUAUCCAGAUAGCGAAAUGAACUCUUCAGCGGCAAAAAAACAACAAUCACGCGGUAACCGAUAACGGAACUUGGACGCGACUUUCCUUCGUCUGGUUACUUCGGGCAAUCGGCGAAGAAUGACCGAAAUGUGUUCUUUUACAGAGAUUUUAAAUCAAGGUGACUGGGGAAAUCGACAUUGCAAAUAUAUGCAUGUCGGGGGCAUUUUUAUAUUGCAAGUAAGAUAUGGCUCCCAGCGACACUGAUGAACACCUUAAUUUAUCGCUGUCGUCCGUUAGUAGUUGAAACAUAAGUGCGAAACCAUGUAACCGGAAAGAUAUAUCGCUGCAGCAAACCCUAACUAAGUGCCGCUGAACAAGCAAUCAACACUCUAUAUACCGAUCAAUGAAUUAAUAUGAGCUAGAGUUUCGGCAUCAGCCGGAUAAAACGACGGCGAGGUUAAAUUGAAAGGAAGGAACAGCUUCCGGUGAAUCGAUUUUGGAAAUGGUACAACAACUUAUGGGGAUCACAUCAAUUCAAUAAUCAACAGGCAGAUGCUUUUGCCGGAGGACUCCGUCGGGAAAAAACUGUACGAGGAUAACAUGGAACCAAGAAUCUUUUACGAUCUCGAUGGAAUUAGAGUACGUAUAGGAACGCAUGGACUCGGUUUCGGUAUGAUGCAUUGCGACGAAGACACCAAUCACAGGGCUGAUAUCCUCUAUACAAAUCCGAUCAACAUCAACAGUACCCGAAGGAAGUUUCCAAAAAGAUGACCUGGGCGUCGAUUUCCUGCCAACCGGCGAGUCCGCGAGAGAACAUCACGUGUACAACGGCGACAAUGAAGUCCCGAAAUGUCUUCACCAUCUGUACUUCACCAUACAACGUAGUCAUCGGCACCUAGAAUUUGUCAUUCGAGAAUGGAAAAAGAGUGAAGAUUUCUCUGCAAUGCCGCCGCCGAACGGUCAUGGAUACAGAAUUAUCGUUGACCUACGCCUGGCCAAGCUGAGAAACCGUACCCUCAGCAGUCGUAGCAACAUAUAUAGAACGAAUCUGAUAGCGGUAAAAGCGGAAUUAUAACUAUGAUGCAAUCUUCGCAAGAGUGGUGCGAUGAAAUAUAAAAAAUGUAUAUUCUUUUUUCAUUUUUCAUUUUGGAAUAAAAUAUAAAAAAUUGAAAAAGGGCAUGAAAUCUAUAUUUUGAUCGAUAAAUUGGUAUCUUCCGUUUAUUUUUCGAAGAUAAUUAGGUGCGAACACUGACUUUGAUUAUGUUUAACACGUUGAGCCCCGGAUUGUUCUUGCUACGCUCUCCACUCAGUCCGCAUUAAGAGCAUUUGUAUAAUAUCAUAUUGAUAUUUAUUGUCUAUAAAGAAAAUACUCAUAAAUUCGACUAGAAAGUAGUCACAUAUCUCAAAACAUCCGAAAACAAACAAUUUGUUUGUAUAUUUCUUUAUUUUGUAACCGUCAGUCUCAUCAUCGUUUUUCUAAUGAAAAGUUCAACGUCUGUCCCUAGGGACUGACACAGGGCUCAUCGUGUUAAGGUGGUCCAUCCGAAAGUCCUUUUUUACCCAUCAUUUCUGCUUAUCAUCAUAAGUAUGAAUGAUGAACUUAAUCGUUGAUCUGAAUCUAUACAGCCGAAAACGAGGUACUUUAUGUGACCCCACAAAAAGUCGCCUAGAGACAUAGCACGAGUUUUGAUGACAAAAUUCUAUGAUUUGUAAACGUAGCCCGGAUGCGAGUAUUUCCAUGAUGAAAUGACUAUAAGCGUGAACUAUCAGAAAAAAAAGUUUGUAAAACGAUCCUCCAAUCGUCCUGUAAAACAAUCCACGAAAGAAGUAACGAUGAUACAUGAAAUAAGUGAAAUUCAUAUGAAAAAUACACUACAAACAAUGAGAAUGAAAAUAAUUCACGAGGAUAUACUCUUCAUUUACAACUAUAAUUCUAAUAGAAUAUUAUUGGAAGUGAAGAAACAUAAACAUAAACAAACAAUAACUAGAUGAAAUUAUGAUAACGAUCACCGAGAGCAUUAAGAAUGAGAAACGACAACAAAAUCUGGAU